rnacentral:rRNA from 1 species
UACGAAGGGGGCUAGCGUUGCUCGGAAUUACUGGGCGUAAAGGGCGCGUAGGCGGUCUUCUAAGUCUUGUGUGAAAUCCCUCGGCUCAACUGAGGAACUGCACGGGAUACUGGAAGACUUGAGUUCGGGAGAGGGAAGCGGAAUUCCGGGUGUAGCGGUGAAAUGCGUAGAUAUCCGGAGGAACACCAGUGGCGAAGGCGAGUCUCUGGGCUGAUACCGACGCUGAGGCGCGAAAGCCAGGGGAGCAAACGGG